rnacentral:lncRNA from 1 species
UCGGCUACCUACAGAAGUGCCACCAAUCUGAAGUUCUGAACCAAGCUAUUGCGUCAAGGUGAGAUGAUCAAUUCCGUUCUUGAUCACUGCCACCUUGUUUAGUACUCUUAUUGAUCUGAUUUCUCUCUUGUUGAUGCAACCUGCUCACUUCACGUGAAGGCAUGUAGGUUGAUUCAUAUGAUUCUUCAGCGGCAGCAAAAGUUUUUCAUGUACAUUCCUUCCUAUAAGCGACGGGCGCGACACGCACCUCCAACCAAUGCUUUCCCCGGUGAUCCCCGGCCACGAGCACGUCUAUCCCCUACAAGCCGCUACCGGUGCUCCCUCUCCGCUGGAUGCGGCAAGGUCGUGUGAGUGUUCUGUAGGUCGGCACUGCACCAUGGGCACAGGAUCGUCGCCCUCAUGGCCACAGCCGCAAACUUCGUGUCUGGCCUGCUUAUCCUCACCACUUUCAGUGUCGGAGGCAGUGCGUGACUGGUGACCAGUGUCCGACUUUGAUCGUCGAUGCUGAUGAUGGAUUCAAGCACUCCACCAUAUUCUUAGUACAGCACCACUGGGGACUUAGCAAAACUGCUUUUUAGUCAUUAACAUCCAAGUCCUAGAUAUUGUUAUGGCAUAAAUUUUGACGGUUAGGAUUUUAACAAGGUGCAGAACUGUGUAGGUUGAGAUGACAGAGAUAAUAGUAUGCUAAAUGUGUAGACAUAGUUUGACAACUUUGCUGAAACAUAGUACUCCCUUUAGUAAAAAAGAUGCCCUGAAUAAGCUCUAAUAUGACAUCAUGAGUGUUACCAUUUGUUCCGAAGAACAAGUGUAAGUUCUAUAAAAUAAUUGACUGCUAUUUUCAGAUUUUCUCCUCGUACACUUUUAAUAGCUCAUGAUGUUUAGUGAUCCUUUUUCCAUAUGCUUGUGAUUUAAUUUCAGGCUACAUCGUCAGGAUUCACACCUCGUCAGAUCUGAGAUCUCUGAUUUCCGAGUAAAUAGCAUAAAACUACUAGUUUACAGGCUUUGG